rnacentral:rRNA from 1 species
UGGGUGAUCUGCCCUGCACUUUGGGAUAAGCCUGGGAAACUGGGUCUAAUACCGAAUAUGACUAUGCACCUCCUGGUGUGUAGUGGAAAGCUUUUGCGGUGUGGGAUGGGCCCGCGGCCUAUCAGCUUGUUGGUGGGUAAUGGCCUACCAAGGCGACGACGGGUAGCCGGCUGAGAGGGUGACCGGCCACACUGGGACUGAGACACGGCCCAGACUCCGUACGGGAGCA